CGAAGCGCGGGACGUCGCCGCCGACGCUAGGUAGCGCCACCGUUGAGGAGUCGACGGAAAAUUCAAUCCCUCGCGACUCGUGAUUUUCAUCUUUCAAAUUGAAUUAUAUUACUGGCGGGCGGCGGCAUUGCCAUUCCGGCACUUUAGUAUUUAAUUUUAUACUUUGGAAUUUGAUGGGAUUCUGGUACGAAAAUAUUGGACGGUGUUUACUGUUUAAAUAUUUAUGUUAUCGUUACCUAUUAUAUUUCAAAAUUGUUUACUCAUUUGUCGUUAGUCGUUCUUCAUCGAUACUCGUUACUAUUAAUUAAAUCGAAAACCGCCGACGUAUUAGAGUUAUUGGUGCGGACAAUGUGCAGGUCGUAUUAUUAGGUAUAUUAUGCAUAUUACGCCGCGUAUAAGGUAUAUACUAGUUGUGCGUACCUAUACGAUAUUACAACGGCGAAAGCGCGUAAGGUCGACAGCGGUUGCUUAUAGCGGCGAUUGGGAGGGGGAGACUUUCACAGUUUCACGCAUUAUAUUUCGUUCGCUUUUGAUACAGACCCAGUUAAUAGUUUUGUGACUUGUUCGGUGCUAUUAUGUGUAUCGUCCACUCCCGACGUAAUCGUGAUUAUCAAUGUAGGUACUAGAUAGUAACAGGUGUUUGCUAGAUAACCGUGAGGAUCGUGAGAAAUAACGGUGAAUGCAUUACGCAGGUACCGAAUAGUGACUGACUACCCUACAGAUCAUUUUAUUCCUAAUUAAUAUAUUAUAACAAUUUAUAAAUUAAUUUUAUAAUAUAUAUAUAUAUAUGUGUACAGAUUAUAGGAAGUUUAAUAGUUAAUAAUAAUUUUAAAAAGUCAAGUUAUAUCAAUGGAUAAUCUUUCGAUCCUGGAUACUCAUAUAUUAGCGUCAUCCGGUCCACCAUAGUCGACGAUGUUAUUGUUUUUUUUCCAAAAAUGGUCGUGCAAAAAUUCUUUAAUAUCCGGUUUCCAGACUCCACGAGCGGAACGGGACAUACCGGACGUGCAUCAUGCUUACAUCCCCAUAAUAGAUAUAUGUGAACAAAUUGGUGAAAAUAGGAAGGAGUAGUUACUAUUGCAUCGAAGACUUGGUCCUCUAAAAAUAUUCGUCUCCGUGUCGAAUAUAUAAAAUGUACCUUUCAAGUUACAACACGGCAAUUAAUAUUCUUUGUUGUAAUUAUGUUUUAUUUAUUAUUUUCUAUAAUAUAUUUUGUUAAUGUUUU
rnacentral:lncRNA from 1 species